rnacentral:rRNA from 1 species
AGCUCCAAGAGUGUAUAUUAAAGUUGUUGCGGUUAAAAAGCUCGUAGUUGGACUUGAGGGAUUUAUAUUUUGGGAUUAUUGUUUAAAAACAAUAUAUUCUUUUGUAUUUUUUCCUUUCUUUUUAUUUUUUUUGAUAGGAUUGGAAUGAUAUUGGGUAAAACUAAUUGAUUUCCUUUUCUUGUGGGGAAUAGAUAGUUUACUUUGAAAAAAUUAGAGUGUUUAAAGCAGACAUGACAUGUACAAUUGAAUAUUACAGCAUGGGAUAAUUGAAUAGGACAUUAACCUUUUAUUUUGUUGGUUUCGAAGGUUAAUAGUAAUGAUUAAAAGGGAUAGUUGGGGUCACUUGUAUUUGAUCGCUAGGGGUGAAAUCCUAUGAUUGAUCAAAGACAAACUACUGCGAAAGCAUUUGACAAGGAUGUUUUCA